GGGUUGUGAGGUUAAGCGACUAAGCGUACACGGUGGAUGCCCUGGCAGUCAGAGGCGAUGAAGGACGUGCUAAUCUGCGAUAAGCGUCGGUAAGGUGAUAUGAACCGUUAUAACCGGCGAUUUCCGAAUGGGGAAACCCAGUGUGUUUCGACACACUAUCAUUAACUGAAUCCAUAGGUUAAUGAGGCGAACCGGGGGAACUGAAACAUCUAAGUACCCCGAGGAAAAGAAAUCAACCGAGAUUCCCCCAGUAGCGGCGAGCGAACGGGGAGCAGCCCAGAGCCUGAAUCAGUGUGUGUGUUAGUGGAAGCGUCUGGAAAGGCGCGCGAUACAGGGUGACAGCCCCGUACACAAAAAUGCACAUGCUGUGAGCUCGAUGAGUAGGGCGGGACACGUGGUAUCCUGUCUGAAUAUGGGGGGACCAUCCUCCAAGGCUAAAUACUCCUGACUGACCGAUAGUGAACCAGUACCGUGAGGGAAAGGCGAAAAGAACCCCGGCGAGGGGAGUGAAAAAGAACCUGAAACCGUGUACGUACAAGCAGUGGGAGCACGCUUCGGCGUGUGACUGCGUACCUUUUGUAUAAUGGGUCAGCGACUUAUAUUCUGUAGCAAGGUUAACCGAAUAGGGGAGCCGAAGGGAAACCGAGUCUUAACUGGGCGUUAAGUUGCAGGGUAUAGACCCGAAACCCGGUGAUCUAGCCAUGGGCAGGUUGAAGGUUGGGUAACACUAACUGGAGGACCGAACCGACUAAUGUUGAAAAAUUAGCGGAUGACUUGUGGCUGGGGGUGAAAGGCCAAUCAAACCGGGAGAUAGCUGGUUCUCCCCGAAAGCUAUUUAGGUAGCGCCUCGUGAAUUCAUCUCCGGGGGUAGAGCACUGUUUCGGCAAGGGGGUCAUCCCGACUUACCAACCCGAUGCAAACUGCGAAUACCGGAGAAUGUUAUCACGGGAGACACACGGCGGGUGCUAACGUCCGUCGUGAAGAGGGAAACAACCCAGACCGCCAGCUAAGGUCCCAAAGUCAUGGUUAAGUGGGAAACGAUGUGGGAAGGCCCAGACAGCCAGGAUGUUGGCUUAGAAGCAGCCAUCAUUUAAAGAAAGCGUAAUAGCUCACUGGUCGAGUCGGCCUGCGCGGAAGAUGUAACGGGGCUAAACCAUGCACCGAAGCUGCGGCAGCGACGCUGAUGCGUUGUUGGGUAGGGGAGCGUUCUGUAAGCCUGCGAAGGUGUGCUGUGAGGCAUGCUGGAGGUAUCAGAAGUGCGAAUGCUGACAUAAGUAACGAUAAAGCGGGUGAAAAGCCCGCUCGCCGGAAGACCAAGGGUUCCUGUCCAACGUUAAUCGGGGCAGGGUGAGUCGACCCCUAAGGCGAGGCCGAAAGGCGUAGUCGAUGGGAAACAGGUUAAUAUUCCUGUACUUGGUGUUACUGCGAAGGGGGGACGGAGAAGGCUAUGUUGGCCGGGCGACGGUUGUCCCGGUUUAAGCGUGUAGGCUGGUUUUCCAGGCAAAUCCGGAAAAUCAAGGCUGAGGCGUGAUGACGAGGCACUACGGUGCUGAAGCAACAAAUGCCCUGCUUCCAGGAAAAGCCUCUAAGCAUCAGGUAACAUCAAAUCGUACCCCAAACCGACACAGGUGGUCAGGUAGAGAAUACCAAGGCGCUUGAGAGAACUCGGGUGAAGGAACUAGGCAAAAUGGUGCCGUAACUUCGGGAGAAGGCACGCUGAUAUGUAGGUGAAGUCCCUUGCGGAUGGAGCUGAAAUCAGUCGAAGAUACCAGCUGGCUGCAACUGUUUAUUAAAAACACAGCACUGUGCAAACACGAAAGUGGACGUAUACGGUGUGACGCCUGCCCGGUGCCGGAAGGUUAAUUGAUGGGGUCAGCGCAAGCGAAGCUCUUGAUCGAAGCCCCGGUAAACGGCGGCCGUAACUAUAACGGUCCUAAGGUAGCGAAAUUCCUUGUCGGGUAAGUUCCGACCUGCACGAAUGGCGUAAUGAUGGCCAGGCUGUCUCCACCCGAGACUCAGUGAAAUUGAACUCGCUGUGAAGAUGCAGUGUACCCGCGGCAAGACGGAAAGACCCCGUGAACCUUUACUAUAGCUUGACACUGAACAUUGAGCCUUGAUGUGUAGGAUAGGUGGGAGGCUUGGAAGUGUGGACGCCAGUCUGCAUGGAGCCGACCUUGAAAUACCACCCUUUAAUGUUUGAUGUUCUAACGUUGACCCGUAAUCCGGGUUGCGGACAGUGUCUGGUGGGUAGUUUGACUGGGGCGGUCUCCUCCUAAAGAGUAACGGAGGAGCACGAAGGUUGGCUAAUCCUGGUCGGACAUCAGGAGGUUAGUGCAAUGGCAUAAGCCAGCUUGACUGCGAGCGUGACGGCGCGAGCAGGUGCGAAAGCAGGUCAUAGUGAUCCGGUGGUUCUGAAUGGAAGGGCCAUCGCUCAACGGAUAAAAGGUACUCCGGGGAUAACAGGCUGAUACCGCCCAAGAGUUCAUAUCGACGGCGGUGUUUGGCACCUCGAUGUCGGCUCAUCACAUCCUGGGGCUGAAGUAGGUCCCAAGGGUAUGGCUGUUCGCCAUUUAAAGUGGUACGCGAGCUGGGUUUAGAACGUCGUGAGACAGUUCGGUCCCUAUCUGCCGUGGGCGCUGGAGAACUGAGGGGGCUGCUCCUAGUACGAGAGGACCGGAGUGGACGCAUCACUGGUGUUCGGGUUGUCAUGCCAAUGGCACUGCCCGGUAGCUAAAUGCGGAAGAGAUAAGUGCUGAAAGCAUCUAAGCACGAAACUUGCCCCGAGAUGAGUUCUCCCUGACCCUUUAAGGGUCCUGAAGGAACGUUGAAGACGACGACGUUGAUAGGCCGGGUGUGUAAGCGCAGCGAUGCGUUGAGCUAACCGGUACUAAUGAACCGUGAGGCUUAACCUUACAACGCCGAAGCUGUU
rnacentral:rRNA from 1 species